AUUAUUGUUCCUCUCAAAAAAGUAUUUUCAAUUAUUUUAUUUUCAUUUGGAAACCUUAGUUGAUUCAAGAUAUGGGACAAGUUUGUUACACUUUUGAUUUUAUCUAUUUUUGUGAUCAUCUUUAAUAAUUUCGAUCACAUACUAAUAAAAUUUCUGGAAGACGACAAUCCAAACGGUAACCGACUUUCUCUUCCUUCUCACUAAACCUUCCAAACCUCUCCACCACAAUCGAAACGGUUCUGUCACCAUGUAACUCAGCCUUCCGGUGGUGGUUCUGGUUUGUUUUGAUGUUCGCGGUGGCCCCUGUUUGACGAUGGUGGAUCUCUGCUCAACAGACUUCUCUCCUUCCCCCGAUGAUCUUCGUCUCUUUUGUUUAAUCCUCCUCCUCCGCCUUUCCUUUGGAUUGUUGUUGUUGCAAGGAACAAGGAGGUUUGUCCCAUACCCGAGUUAGUGACAGAUUGGCUGAGGCUCUUCUGCGUGUUGCUGGGUUUACGCGCUUCUCUGAUCGUGAAUCCAUGCUGGUUACUUUUGGAUUUGUGUUCGUUUCGGAUUUUGCCGUGGGUUUGUGUGAGUUUUCGUGGGUUGAUAGUUUGCUAUUGUCUGCACCGUUGGUCCGUGUGUUUUUGUUUUCUAGUUGGGUUUCGUAUUGUUCUGUGUACUGUAUUGUCCAUUUUUUAUGUGUUUUUGUUUCAGAUCAGAGAUUGGGUGGAAGCAGAUUUGGCCUAUUUUGAGGUGGUUCAGUUUCGUAAACUCGAAAGGGUCUGGUUUCUUAACCCGAAAGGGCUGUUUUAACGUGUUGGACUCAUUCCUUGAUUUGGGUCCAAACACGUCUAUUCUUUGAAAUCGUUUGAGAUGGUGUUCCUGUCCUUGACUCAUUGAUGUUCCAGGUUUGUUGAGAUCUGCAUGUCUCAAGACUUCAGGGAUGCCUUCUCUUCGGUACCAAUCAUUCUCCGUCUCAGUCUUGUGAUUGUUAGGGGACUGUUAGGCUCGAAAGAGCUUUUAUGUCUGUUGCCUAUUCAGGGGGUUGCUGGUACGUGGAUAUUGAUACCGUGUUGGUGGUCGAUCCAUUCGUCAUUUCUGAACUCUUUUUAAUCCGAUGGACGCUCACUUUUCAUGUUUUUUUGUAACUUAGUUUCGUGCCCGUAUGCGGGUUCGCUGGGUUGCGCUCGUGAGAAGUGAUUGCUUUGUUAGGAUUAAUUAGGGUUGAUCCACUGGUUUGUAUUAUCAUGUUUUAUUCCCAUUUGGGCUAGACCUGGGUCAAGUCUAAUCCCCAGUCUCUGUAUCUUGUUAUUUUUAUUUAAUCUAUUUCUCUUUUUGCCUAAAAAAAAUUACAUAAAAUUUAUGGGUCUGUCCUUGUCAACAACCUCCUAUGUUACGAAGGCAAAAGUAUCAAAUUGUAAAUGGUAUAAAAGCAUGUUGAUUGUGAGUACUUGUUUUCUCAUAUUUGGCCACUUUGCUUGAUGCAGCUUUGAGGGUUGUUUGUCCCACCGUUAAAUCAAUGGUCUCAAAUCCCGCAAGUGGAGAAACUCAAGUCAAGUCCAUACAUGUGUGUUUCCCUCCUCCGGCCACCGGUGCACUAGAACAUCUAUUGGUCUAAGUGUUGAUCUUUAAUCUUGUGGGUCAAACAAGAAGUUCACAGACGUCCCUUUUUUUUUCGAAGAUACUCUCAUACGUCUAAAUAUAGUAAAAAAAAAAAAAAAAAGACAUCUCUAACACAAUCAUGCAUGUGUCUGAAGUCGGGAAGCUCUUUACAAUGAAUUGCGUGCUACCCAAAGAUAUCCAUGCAUGUAUGUCUUACGACAAACAGAGCACAUCUCAUCCAUAGGAAAUAAUGGAAUCAUGAGGUACUUUCACGUGCUCCCCAAAAGUAUCACUAUUGUUAACUAAUUUAGGUUACAGCUAAGAGGC
rnacentral:lncRNA from 1 species